UUCACCAGCUGGAGUGGUACCGUGAACCGUGACAGUUACAAUGAAGCUAUAAAUUCGUUUAAUUAAUAAAAUGACGCUAAUAGUUUUAUGGAAUUGUAACUUCCAGAUAAAUCUUUAAUUGGAUAAUUAUUGCCGGAAGGAAGGAUUAGUGGUGGCCCAAAGGCUCAGCCAGGAGGAAUGGAAUUUGCCAGGAGGAAUUUGCUAAAAGCUACCCGAGCGCCUCCAAAGGAGACUUAGCUACUUAAGAGCAGCUGCUUCGCGAACGAAUCUACUGCCGGUACAAAAUCGCGACCCACUGAGAAGAUCCGGAGAGAAACUCAGCGGGCUGAUGUAUGGGAUUGGUUGCACGUCGAACACUUUGUCGAGUUCGAUAAAUAUAGUUACCGGGGUAUUUUUAUUUAUUCGAAGAAAGAGAUCUAUUGGAACAUAAUUAGUGGGAAAAACUCUAGAAAUUUUCACCACGGCGGUGCGCUGGUUCAAUGUUUUUGAAGGAAGUUUUUGCGGGGGCGAGUACCGCUAAAGAUGCACAAAAAGAGGGGCAGGCCGAGGCUAGGUUAUGAGGAGUAGACGUACCUGCCAACCCGUCGCUAGCUUCUUCCAGGCUGCAGAAUGCAGAACGUCACUGCUGGACGACGCGUAAUGGCGGCGGCUGGCCUGACGACUUGACACGGCACUCUUCUAAACUAUUUGUCCAUAAAACUGAUAUACCUCUCAAGCAACGAGGAAUAUGAUCGUCAGUAAGAGUUCGUAAUUUAAGAUUAUAGAAAAUUAAUAAGAGUCCAUAAAAAUAAAACAAGCCGCGUGUGUGUGUACAGCGCGUGCGGUGUGGUCGGCGAUAGUCUUCUUUUUUUAUUUUUGACUUUUGCUUUUAUGUUUUUUUUUUAUAACUGGCCAUGCGAUAUUAUGCCUACUCUCAUUAAAAAAGAACCAAUAAUAUUGUUUGAAUAUUCUUGACAAAGACAUCUCACAGUUACAUCAAAUGGUAUUUUAAUGGUCGAGUUUCCGCAGAAUCGUUAAUAUAAUGUGUUGAUUCUUGAUACUUACGUUCCAAAUAAUCGGAUAGCCAUAAUAAUAUAUUACGUUAAAAAUAUUAUUAAUCAUAUUAUGGAUUACAGUUUAUUAUGAUACUUUUCCGUUUCGUAAUAAUGAAUCAACAAAAACAAAUCAUUUAUGAUAGGUAAUGACAUUUAUAACAUAACAAAAAAAACAUCUAAAAAGAAGUAGCUGGGAAUCUUAAUUAUAUUAAAAAGCAUUACU